AUUAGGAAUCAAACUGUCUUCAAUAGUUAGAUGGAGGUGGAGGUAUGAAAGGAAUGGAAGGCAAGCUGCUGCUGGGAAGUGGUGGAAGAAUAGUGAUAAGCUUAGGCUAAGAUGGUGGGAUUGUUGGUAGCUUUGGGAUUCAAGGCAAUAUAGGAGGAAGUGGUGGAAUUGGUACGCUGGGAAGUGGUGGAAGAAUGGGGGUAGGGUUAGGAAGUGGUGGAAUUGGUACUGGUACUCUAGGAAGUGGUGGAAGACUGGGGGUAAGGUUAGGAAGUGGUGGAAUUGGUAAUCUGGGAAGUGGUGGAAUUGGGAAUCCAGGAAGUGGUGGAAGAAUGGGGGGAAGUGGUGGAAUUGGUGGAAUUGGUGGAAUUGGUGGAAUAGUUACUUGCUGAAGAUUUCGAGCUGCUAGGCUAACCUCCAUGCUUGAAAAACCCAACAAAAUGAAACAAGCUAAUAAAAUGAAAACGUUGGAACCUGCCAUUUUUUUUGGAGAGAUGAACUAAAGAUUGAAGAUUUGAGUUGAGGUUUGCAUUGAGGAAAGCAGGAUUGCUUUUCAGGUAUUUAUAGCCACAUUUGAAAGACUUAAUUAAUUAUUUGUUUGAGAUAUUAUUCCCCUACUUAGCAUACUACCUUUUCUCACCCAUCUGUCAUCACCAACAAAAAGAAGAAGAAGAUAAAUUAGACUCAUCCUUAAACUUAAAAAUAUUCUGAAUGAGUCGAUUUGUCUAAUGUUAGUUAAAAAUUAAAUGCUUUUAAAUUUUGUGUGAACUAUAUCUUUCUAUUUCCAUUUACCUAAUGCCAGUUAAAAAAUAAAUAUUUUUUUAUAUAAUGAGUGUAUAUUUGACUUACGUAUGUGGCGCUCUAUUAAAAAAAAAAUUAAAUUAGGUGGAUCAAAUUUAAAUAUUAGAUAACUAUACAUGUUGGUACUUAAACUUGGUAUUUAAGAUUUUUUGUUGUCCAAUUAAAGGUUGAAUUUAAAUUAGAUAGUUGAACUUGAUUUCUUAGUUCAAAUUCCAAGCUUAGAUACCAAAAUGUUUGGUAUAAUAUUAAAUUAAAAAAAUUCAAGAUGUAAAAUACUAAUUUAACAUUUAAACUAGUUGCCCCAUACAGCUACAAUGGUAAUGAUAGAAGAAAAGUAAUUGAAUGGGAUUAGGAGAUGAAGAUCCUAGUAAAGCCACCUCUAGAGGUAUGAGAGUUGCGACCACUCUAUAAUUGAAUGCUACAAAAAUGGUUAUAUCUAGGAAUCUUUCGCCAUUAGCUAAUAAUGGAAAUAGCUAUGUAUCACUUAAAAAACAACAAUUCAUAUUUUCUUGAAAUAUAUUCAAAAAAUUGAAAAAUAUAAAAAAUAUCAUUUUUCUAAAAAUCCAAAAAUUUUAUGUGAAUAUCAACAAAUUCAGAAACUAAAAGAUAUGGAAAGCUUUAAAGUUUUUCCAAAAAGAUAGAAAUUUGCAGAAAAUUAGGUAUUUAAGAUUCCAAUAUUUUUAUUUCCCUUCUUUCCUGAUUGGAGAAAAUAUGAAUUAGGUGACGCCAUCGUUAACAAUUGGGGCAAGGUAAGACACGGUUGGAAACUUCAAGUAGGUGUAAUUUUGGGGAAAUAUUACAUUGUUUAAUAAUGAAUAUUGACAUGAUUUACCCUGAGUUAAAUCAAUUAUAUUUUACUUAUAUUUUCUAUACAAAUUUUAUACAAGCCUAAAUUAAUCAUAUUCAAUCAUAUCAAUCUCAAUAUUUUGAAUAAGAUAAUAAUAUUUUCUUAAAACUAUAACUAUAUAAAGUAUUGUAAAAAUAAUUAUUCAAUUAUACAGCUAUUUUAUUUGUAUAAUUAUAAUUAACAUAACCUUCUCCAUCAUAUAAUUAAAAUUUGUUCAACUUAUAAUUACAACAACUUUCCGUGAAGAAAAGAGAGAGACACAAAUACAAACUAAUGAGAUUAAAUAAAUCUCAAAUAUAAAAUAUUCUUCAAUAAACAUCAUUAAUCAAUCUCAAAAGAAACAAGAAAAGAAAUUCAUAAAUUAAACAAUAAGAAUAUAAUAUAACAAUCCAUUAUUUAAUAAAUUCAAAAAAAAAAAUCACAUUUAUAUUUUAAAUUUUAUUGGUCUAAUUUUAGAUAGGUUUAUAAACUUCAAAUGAUUUAAAAUAUUAGUGUCACGCCCCUAAAUAUAGGAAGGUUCAUUGAAAUGAAUAAAUAAGAAAUGUGUUGACACCAUUUUUUUGAUGAAAACGGGGUUGACUUGGAUUUUGAAAAUGAAAAUUAAAAUGACAGUCGCCACCAAUCCUUUUUGAUAAGGUGUGAUCGGAUCACCUUGAAAAGUGGUUGUUUUUAAUAAACGAUUUAAUUUUAUUAAAACAACGAGUUUGGUCCACGAAAUUCAGAAAAAUGGGUUCGGGAGUCGGUUACGUACGAGGAAGGAUUAGCGCCCUCGUGACGCCCAAAAAUUGGUACCUAGUUGAUUAGUUAAUGUCUUAAUGUCAAAAAUUGUAAACUUUGAAGAAUUUUAAAAAUACGAUCCUUAAUUUUUUUAAAAAGAAAACUUAUAUAAAUCAAGUUACUCGUUAAGACCCUCCCAUUUCAGAAAGAGAAAACGUCACGCCCAAUGCGUUAGGGCACGAUAUUUUACCUCUUCAGAAAUGAGCUUGUCUAAAAACUUACACAAUAAAAUUUUAAAGGGCAUUCAAUUGUUUAAGUCAUGUGAAAAAUUGCAACCCAAUACAUUAGGGCACAAUUUCUCAAAAUAUUAAACAUUGAAUAUUGCAUUUAUUUUGAAAAAUCCUCAUAUCCAAUGCGUUACGGCACAACGUACUGAAUUCUCGAUAAUGAGCUAUUUAUUUAUGUUUUUGUUUUAAAGAGCACCCUCGAUUAUUUAGAUCCAACGAAGAAAAUUGGAACCAAUACGUUAGGGUUCAAUUCUCUCGAAGAUCCCAAAUACCGAGUAUUACUUUUAUUUUGAAAUUUUCCGUUUUUGAUAAAUCCGAGUAAAAAUGGAUGCAAAAUAAUGAUAAUGAUGAUAAUGUAAGUAAAAUAACACGAGCAAAACAAAAUAUAAAUAAAUAAUAAGACUAAUAUAAAUACAAUCGUGCAGGCGCAAUAACAAAUAAGAAACAGAUAAAAACUAAAGCAAGAAAAAUAAUAAUAACAUACAUGUAAAUAAAUAACUGAACAAAAUUAACAAAAUUAAAAAAAAUAUAAAAGAUAUAUUUAUACAUAUAUAUGUAUAAAAUUAUGAAAAUAUUAAAAACAUAUGCAUGUACACAUUUUUGAAGCUAUUAUACAUGAAAAUAUAUGUAAGUAUAUAUGCACAUACAUGAAUACGUAUAGAACCAUCAUCAAAUAUAUAAAAGUAUAUAUAUAUAUAUGUAGGUAUAUAUGAAUCACAAAAUUUAAAGAAUAAUAUAUAUAAGAUAUAUAUUUUGGAAGUAUAAAGAAUAUGUAAGAAUUUAUAUAUACAUACAUUUAUAUAUGAAAAUGAAAUAUAUAGAUAUGUAUGUGGGUAUGUAUAAAUAUUAUAAAAUAUAAAAACAUAUAUGUGUACGCAUAUAUAUAAAAAUAUACAUAUGUAUAUAUACAUAUAUAUUAUGAAAAUAAAGCUAAAAAAAAACUAGUUAGUGUAUUAACAUAAUUGUAACGACUAAAUAAAGGAAAAUAAUAAUAAUAAUAAUAAUAAUAAUAAUAAUAACAUUAAAAUAAUUAACUAAAUAAUAAAAAUUGCUAAAAAAAGAUUAAAUCGAAAUAAAAACGAAAAUACUGGGCAAAUUCGAAAUAAAAAAAACGAAAAGGAUUAAAUUGCUACACGCAUCGAAAGAGGGAGACCAAAACGAUAAAUAAACCAAAGCCCCAAAACGCAGCGCUGCAACGGACUAAAAUGAAACAAAAGGAAAACUAUGUGGCUAAAUUAAAAUAAAAGAAAAUAAUGAAAAAGGGCCAAAUUGCAACUCGUUGCAAAGUCGGAGUGACUACGCGCGCAAAUAUCCCCUUUUAAGAAAACACGCGGAUCCUCCCCCAGGGUCGGGUCACCGAGCGGGUCAGGGCCAAAAUGGCGUCGUUUUGGCACCUGACCCUAAUGACAAAACGGCGCCAUUUCGUUUAGGGUAUUUAAACCUAAUUUUUCCCAAAAAACCUAAUUUCAGCCACCAUUUAAAAAAAAUAAAAAACUUUCUUUUUCUUUCAAAAAUCUGACUUUUGGGGUAAAAUUUUUUACUUUCUCUUGAUAUUUUGCGCGAAUAUGAAUUGUUUUUUUUUAAAAAAAUAUGUAUAAAAAUAAAAAUGAACGGGUAUAAAAAAGAAAAGAGAUGCGAAACUAAAAUCACAUUGGAGUGAAUCUGUUUGUUUUUUUUAAAUCUGUUUUUGUAUUAUUUAAAAGUGUUCUUACAAAAAAUCUAAAAAGGAACCCCCUAAAUUACAGAAAAAUUUGGCUUUUAUAGCCGAUUCUCCCCCCUCAUUCUUUGCUCUGUUGCUUUUCUAUUGCUUGCAGGGACUUGACGCGGUGCAUGUGGGGUGUCGGUGGCAAGUGGGGUGAUGGAACAUCCGACGGUGGCCGUGGCUGCUGGUGAUGCGACUGGUGUGCGGCGGCCAAGAGCUAGGGUUUCAGAAAAGCUGAAACCCUAGUUUGACUGUUGGGGUUGGGAUUUUGGGCCAAUUGGGUUAUUGGGCCUCGAGUUUGGGUUUGUAAUUGGGUUAAUUUAUUUUUUUUGGGUUUUAUGUUUGGGUUUAUUGAAUAUUGGGCUGAGGGUUAGUGGGUUAGGCCUAGGUGGGUUGGUUUGGGUUUUGGGCCCCGGGCUAAAAUUGGGCUUGUACAAAAUGAAUUAGGUUUAAUGGCUAAGUGUUAAAGAAUUCACCUUAGAGACUUAAGUUCGAGUUCCCUUCCUUCCUUUUUAUUUUUGGUAACUUGGUUUUAGGGUAAAGUCACACUCAAAAUAUAUACGACUAGGAAUUAAGAAUAAAUAAGAAAUGGGCAAUAGGUCCAAUGGUUAAGUGUUAAUCCCCUAUCUUAGAGAUCUUAGGUGUAAGUUUCCUUUUUCCCCUCCCAUUUUUCUUUUGGAUUUCGACAAUAAGGGGAAAUUUGCUGUGCCACCCCUAGGGUUUUCAAACCCGAGCUAUUUAAUCAUUCUUUUCCCAUUUGGAUUAGUUUUGCUUCUUUUCAAAUUCUUGUAAAAUUUCUACUCAUAUUAUAUUUCUCUUAUAUUUAUUUUCUUUUCCUUUCUUUUCAUUGUAACACCCUAAACUCGGUCGAAUAGGUUCGACCUAAAUUUGGAGAGCUACAUUAGCCACCGAAGUGACUUUCCAUUAACUCCCAAUCUAACCUCUAACACACCACUUACUUGCAACGUAUAUUAUGAUAAGUUAUAUCAUAACAAGGGUAUAAUAUAAUACAUAUAAUGUAAAUCAUGCAAGCUUAAAACCAAUGUAACACCCCAAACCCGGCUGAGUAGGUUCGACCCAAAUUUGGCGAGUUACAUUAGCCACCGAAGUGACUCUCCAUCAAUUCCCAACCUAACCUCCAACACACCACUUACUUGCAAUGUAUGUUAUGAUAAGUUAUAGCAUAACAGUGAAAUAAUAUCACAUAUAGAAUGUAAAUCAUGCAACCUUAUCAAACAAAAUGAGGGAACGGUUCGCAUGUUAAUUACUACGUAAGGCUACGUAGUAAGGUUAUCGCACCUAAGGGUUCACAAGCAUAUAGGGGGUCACAAACAAACAAAGGUCGCAGAAAAUAACACUUCGCAAAAAAAAUUGGCUCGCGUAUGAUGUUAAUACAUAUUUUGGAAAAAUUGAAAGAAUGCGACAUGGUACUCAUGCUAGGAGAAUUAAAGAAACAUCAAAGUAUAUUCAUGCAGAGAAGAAAUUAGUAAUAAAGGUUUAACUUCAUGGUUCGCAAAAUAUUAAAAGAAUAAACUUAAACUUUAGGGAAAUCGUUUCAUUAACAGAAUCAUAUAAUGAUAAAUCUAAACCUAUAUAAAUAAAACCCCAUCACCUAUUUCCCUAGGUUCGCAUUAUUUGUUCAGAGAUAGCCUCGCUAUUGCCAUUGGCGACUUACUUACCUGCAAAGUAAGAGAAGAGUGGGUGAGUUCAUUGCGAACUCGGUGAAUAAUCCGGAAUCAUCAACGUAUGAUUAAAAUACAGAGUUUAAAAUAGAAAGAAGACUUAGUAUGAAAAACUAUUGUAUCGCGUGUUGGGUUCGCAGUGAAUGCUAGGUUCGCAGUGAAUGUGCGAGACCCAGUUUAUAGAACCUGCUUGUCAUAAAAUCAUAUAAGUUUGAAAAUAGUUUUGCAUGUACUUACUGAAAAUCAUACUUAAAAACUUAGCUUGUUCUUGUUUGAAAAUGGAUCUUUUAUAGAAUGAAACAUGCUCACAUACUUAUCUUAUCGGAAUGGCUGAGGAAUAUAAAAUAUGUUCUUGCACUUUUCUUAACUUACUUAUAUUAUCUUGUCUUAUUUUGUUGGAUAUGUGGAUCUCUUUAUAACGCCUCAGAAUGACUCAAAGAGUCCUUAAGAUGUCCCAUAAGUGUAACAUAAGCUAAACACUCUCUUGUACACCAACAUGUCCUAUUGAAUGGAGCAUAGCUUGGCGUUCCCUUAUCUCUCCACAUGUCCCAAAGCCUCAAUGCCCAAAUCACAAAACUUAUUGGUGAGUACUCACAAUCCUUUGGUAUACAAAUAUAUCCAAUAUAUAAGCUCACAAAGGCACUCGUAUAGAAACUUAGCACAUAGAGCUAGAAAAAACAUAGCUUAUAGAACUGUAUUUUUAAAACAUGCUUUAAAACAUAGGCUUGCAUAGGAGCAUGCGUAACACAUAUCUUUAAAACAUAGCUUAAAACAUAUCUUGAAAACAAAUUAUCAGAACUUUUAAAAACAUAGUUUUAUAGGAAAAAAAACUUACUCUUGGAACUUAGUUUUUAAAAAAAAAAGAUUCUUAGAAAACAUAACAGUUCACACACAAGUUACGAAACCUGAGCAUUCAUACUAAAAAACAUGAUAGUUACCACACUUAUGGCAAUUCUUAACCACUCAUCGAUAAAACUGAAAAUUUAAAUGAGUUUUGCCUUGCCUUUAUCCUUGCUGUAGAUAGUCUGGUUGGUUCGUAACAUGCAUAAACACACAAAUUACUUCAAUAGACAAAACUUACGAACUUCACACAUGCAAGCGAACCUAGCUUUCUGGACAAUAAACCCUAAUAGGAAAAAUGCUUACCUUGGUUGCUACGAAUUUGGUUCAGAACAAAGACUUGACAACAAAAUAACGAUGAAAGAAUUUUUCCUAGAAUAAGGAUUGUAUUUAUAGGCACUAAGUAUCUUAGUGACCUUAGGAUACCCUAUUUGACUUAGGAACCCUCUACGGUUUAAAAGAAGGUUACGUGCACGAAAAGUAUCCUAGAUACACAAUAUAUUUAUUUCCUAAGUUUAGUCUAACUUGACUUUUGAUUGGCGAACCCCUAGUUUGUAACUCAAUUGUUGAACCCCAGCUCACUAAACAGAUUGGAGAACACAACUUUCAAUGAAUCUAGCGAACCUCUUACCACAUCAUUUGGCGUGCAGCAGUUUGCUAGAACACUGGCAAACUCCUUACUGGUAUCCCCUUUGGUGAACCCUAGUUUGCUGAAACACUAGUGAACCCUCACUUGUAAGGUCAAAACUUCUAGAUCAGGUUUCAGGAUGUUACAAACACCAUAUUUUUAUCAUAAUUGUUGUUGAUUAUUUUUCUUUCCUGAAUCAAAUCAUCUUUCAUUAAAUUAUUUUUCUAUUAGUUUUGUAAUUGUCGUCAAUAGCACCUCUAUAUUUGCCAAGAAACAAACCGAAUUUAGGUGAAUCAGACCGAAAUAAAGUGUGAAGAACAUCAACCGGAACUGUGGUGAAAGGUGUGUGUCUUUUCCAAGUGAAUCAGUGGUGAUCUGUGUACGAUUAAGGCCACAUGGGCUAUGCGUGUGGUCCACCAACUACCACACAACCAUGUGCACUUGUAGAUUUUAGGGACUUCAUGAACCAUACGGCCUCAGCCAGUUACACGAUCGUGUCUUUCCUGCAAGGUUUAUCAUUUUCCACAUGGAAUCAUGCUGUUACAUGACCGUCUAACCCUUACACAGGGUCUUACCCUUCUCACAUGGCCUGGCCAUACAGCCGUGUGACCCUGUUUUACAGUUUUGACCAAAAAUUUAUCAUAUGUUCAAUUUAGUCCUCGUUUAUCCCUUGAAUUAUUUUAGAGUUUUCAUUCACUCAAUUAAGUCCUUGAUAUUGUGUUUAUUCUAGAAUCUGUGAUUUAAUGACUAAAUUCCUAUUUUUAUAUUGUAUGAGAUGUGAAUAUUACAUGCCUACUGUCAUUGUAAUACUGAUAAACUAUUAAUGAUAAUAUUGUUACCACCCUAUUGAGUACAUGUUAAGCAUGUCUACUGCUAAUGUUGAACUGAAUACAUGAUAAGCAUGUCUAUUAUUAUUAUUUUUUGUAUUGUUCUAUUACAAAGCAUGCCAUAUUGCAUUGCAUGGGGUGGGACGAUAUGUAUGGAGAAAGGGUGACAGUUUAAUAAUCUGCAACCCAGUGGUGGCUCGUCCACAAACCCAAUGGCAGUUUAUCUGCAAAUGUUUUAACUAAAAAUACUGGUUGUUUAUCCGCAAUUUUUACAACGAAGUGGUAGUUUAUAUACAAAUCAGUGGUGAUUUAUCCACAACUCGGUGUGUAUGGAUGGAUGAGUUCUGGGGAACUCAUAGUGUGGUGUGUAGUGAAGUUGGGUAGGACCUUUUCUGAUAAACUGAAAUUGCAUUGCCAUUCAUAAACAUGUGCAUACAAACCAUGAAUUCUAAAUAUUAUAGUGAAGUGUUGAAUUGGAAAACCGAUAUUGUGAAUUGCUAUACGAUUGUGGUUAUUCUAAGAAUUGUUAUUUCGUAUGCUUUGACCACUAUGUUACACCGAUUUUCUUGUGAUAUGACUCACAUUGAGCUUAAGUUCACCCCCUUUUAAUUUCCAUCUUUAUAGAUAACCCACCAGGUUAGGACAUAGACACAACAUCUGGAAGGUCUUGGCUCAGAUAAAUUUUUUUAUUAAAAGUAUUUUAGACUUAUUAUUAUUUCUAUUAUUUGGAAUUGUAUUGUUUUAUUCAAACUUUGGCACGAGACUUAAGUUUUGAGUUUAUUUGACAUGCAUGAAAUUUAAUUUGAAUAUUAGGAUAUUGAAACAUGGAUUUUAAACUAAUUAUGCAUGAAAUUUUGGUUUCGCCAUCAUUAAAAAUAUUUUGAAUAUCAUUUUUCCGCUACGAUAUUAUGAAAAUAAGAAUUUGAAAAAAGUAAAUGAAUUGGAAAUCAACUUUUACUAAGUAAACUUUAAAAUCCAUUGUUUUUUGGAAACUUUUAUUUUUUAGUGAAAACAUGAUUACACGCAAAGUUUUUCUUCAAUAAUAAGCAAAUGUUUUAAACAACUGUUUUAUAAAAACUCCGAUAGUUGUAGUAGGCCAUUUCGGUAGCCAAUGCAAUCUUUUGAAUUCAGUCUUAACGUUUAGGCCGAGUUGAGGAAGUUACUAUUAGCAACUUAACAUUAAUUUGAACAUUAAAUGUUGGUCCAAACUUGACACGAAAUAUAUUUAGAAUACAUAAAUCAAAAAAUUAGUAAGUUGGCUACUUGGGUUAAUUUAUUGGUUUGACACAACAUAUCCUAUAGUAAUUCAAUGGGAUUAGAACAUCCCAACUCCUAGUUGAUUUAAUUGCUAGGUUAUCUAAGUCCACGCUUGCAAUUAUUGCUUAAAGCAUUUGUUUAAUAAAAUCUUAAAUUCCAAUGGAGGUGCUUUUUCAUAAUAUGAGGUAACCUAAGAAAAAGGAAAAAGUUGAACAUAUUGUUAAGUUAAAAUUGAACAAAUUAAGGCAAAGUGUACAAAUGGAGUGUCAUCAUUCAAAUCGGUCCUUCUCUUAAUUGUCAUAAGCCAAUUAGGUAAGCCAGAUUCUUUUAAUAAAAAGUAAAGAUUUCAUGGCAUCCCUAAAGCAUUGCAAAUUUUUUGUAAGCAUUAAAAUGGCAUUAGUUGGUACAAUACUGGUAUUGAUCUGUAUAUAUUGCUUCGGUUUUGAUCAGUACCAAAUAGUUUAUAUUUCGUUCAAUCAAAAUUUUGUUAUGUUUGAUUAUUUCGGUGUGUUUCGACCUAUUUUGGUCAAUAUCGGCUUGUACUAGCUAGUAUAAAAUUUGAUAUUUUAAACUAAAUUUUAAAAUUUUUUAAUCUUAAUUAUUUUAAUUUUGGCUAAAGGGUCUUCAAAGCCCUUGAACAUUAAAAUUUCAAUCAAUUAAGCCCAUCACACAUUAAAGUUAACGAUCAACCAUGAAAGAGCAACAAUAGCCAUUAUGAGCAAUUGUUUUCACCACGUGGCAUGUUAGACUGUACCACGUGACGAAAUAUGGUGUUUUAAAUUUAAAACCAUUAAAACUAUAGAAAAUCAUAAAAUAUUAAAAAAUUACAAAAGUUAUAAAAUUAUAUAAAAAUGAACAAAAUUAUAAAAAGUAGUAUAAAUGAUACAAAAAUUAUAUAAAUUAUUAAAAAAUUGCAAAAAGAAAACAUUAAAAAUAAGCUUAAAAUAAGAAUAUAUAAAAAAAUGUAAAAAAAAAAAAUUAGAAACUAAGUUUCGGAUACACAGCUCUGGCUGUAUUUUUCAUAAAUAAAAGCUUGGUUGAGAUUUUAGAUUUGGUAUAAAUACAAUAAAUAUAAUAUUUAUAGUAGUAAACAAGUGAAUGAAAUUAAGUAAUUGUGAUUGAGAUUCACCAUGAUUAUAUUUAUAGGAAUAAAAUAUUCCUAUAUAUAAUGAAAGUGUAAUUGAAUAAUAAAAUUCAUAUUAAUACAAGUUGCUUUAAAACAAAAGUAAAUAAUUUGAUAUUGAUCUUGUGAAACAAUUGAAUUUUGGUUUUGUUAUGGGAUUAAAUUAGCAAUUAAUCCUUUUUAAGAAUUUAGAGAACGAAUUAGAUAAGUUAGACAUAAAAGUAGAAGAGUAAAAAGAAAGGAAGUAGUGGGUAGAUUAACAUAAUUAGGAGUUUAAAUGAUAUGAUAAUAAUUAAAGCUUUAAUUUAGUUAAGGUAAUUAGAAAUGUUUGAUCAUAUUUUAGAUGUUAAUUGAAAUUAAACGAGUUAAUAGGUCGAAUACAAGUUUAUAUUUUAGUUAAGAUAAUUAAGAGUUUAACUAGAAUUAAAAAAAAAUAAGAAGCACAUUGAAUCGUCGAUGAAUUGAUUUGAUUCUAAAUCCAAACUCAAGAGAGUAGGAACAUAAUCCAUUGGAAACAACACUUUUAAGUUGUUUAAAUUUUUGAGAAAGAAAAACACUUUCAACCUUUUUUUUAAUCCCCACUCUAUCCACCAACCUACUCGUUGCUUUAUAAGUCAAAAUCGGGAAAUUAAAUAUUACACUAUUACUAAUUCGGUUAAAUUGGUUAAUUCGGUCAAAUGAAUAUUAUCGAUUUUUUGAUAUGUUUUUUUACUUGUUUUAACCAAAAAAAUAAAACAUAUAAAUUUCGGUUAAUUUGAUUAACCGGCCGAAUUAAUCGAAAUAUUUCGAUUUGGUUAAUGGUUAAAGAUACUAAUUCGAUUCGGUUAACUGAUCGGUUAAUUGUUUGAGCACCCCUAAAAAUAAGUCAUGGGACCAACAUACUGACUUCCAUACAAUUGUUAGGUAUAUAUAGCAACUCAUAAGUAUGAGUAGAAUUAGUACGCAGUACCUUAGAUUCAUUGAGCCACAUUUCAAAGUUUCCCAUGAUCUCUUUUGCUGUCAAUGAUAUAAUAAACUUUUUGUAUUCACAAUUAUGUUCACAAUAUAAAACAUAAUUGGUCGACUUGAAUACAAUUAAAUGAGACACUCUAAUGUUCUUUCCUUUUCCUCAAAUCUCUCUAUUUCAAUUCAACUACUCUCUAGAUAUGUCCCGUUAGAUUGAAUCAUACAUGAUCAUCGAUAGCCUACUAAAAUAGCUAAUAUUGAUGUAAAACUUCAAGAAACAGUUAAAGGUCAUGAGGGUACUUAGUAUAGAUCUUCAGUUGAUCUCAUGGGUUUCACACAACAUAGAAGCAGAGAUCAAAUCUUCUAUUACCCAUUUUGUUCGUAUAAUACACAUGUAGUAUGAAACACAUGCUAUGGUAUUACUCUCACUUUCCUUGAAGUGUAUGUCUUUAUCAAAAAAUCAAUACCACAUAGGUGAUAAUUCAAAUACACUUAGUAUCUAACUCGAGUCCACAACUUUAUUUUCUUAAUAGAUUCAACAACAAGACUUUCACCUGGAAUAAAAGACAUAUAAAGUGAAAAAUUCAUAUUUAAAUUAUCAAACAUAAAUCAAAUUGAUUAUAAUUAUAUCAUUUUGCAUAUAGCUCAUGUCGUGCAAGUGCACACUUUAGCCCCAACAAGUUUGGACCUAUGCCCUUCAUGCAUGCAAGGCAAGAUUCCAAACAUAAUCAUUCAAUCAUCAUUUAUGUGGGUUCUCAUAUAUAUACACAUCUCACACUUGGUAUUUAACCAAUGUGGGAUCUAAGCUUUUCUUUUCCUCAACAAAUAUUCACAAGUAGCUUACUUUGAGCACCAAUUUCUCAUUCAUCACUCAACCAUUUUGAGCAUAUGAUAUACUGUUGUAAAGGUCUCAUGGAGUAGAAUAUAAAAUCAUAAUUUUAUGAUUCAACUCUCAACAUUUACCAAUUAAAAAUAUGCCUCAAAGUUCCCAUAAAUUACAAAUUUUCCAACAACUUUUGAAUGCAUUAAUCAUUAUCAACAUUAACUCAAGUGAGGACAAGAAUAUAUUAUUCAACUUGCAAUCCUAGAGUUUUGACAUUCCUUUAAAAAAUCUCUAGGAAUCGGUUUUGUAAACUGAUUUGCAAUCCUCUUAUGCAUAGACUUUCUCUCUUGUUGUGAGAUUUACCUUCACACUUAUUUUUUCCAAUAUACUAACUUUAGAUAUUUGGAGUUUGGAGUUGGUCAAACAGAUGUAAAAGCUACCUUUUCCAAAUGAAAAUCUGGAAUUUACACAGACAAAGUAGAUUUCAUUGACAAAGGUGAAAUGCAUAGUCUGGGCAAGUUAUGAAGAUCAAUUUUAUGAUCUUAAGCGAUUUUCCAGAUAGUGAUAUGCUAUUUUUUUUAAUUAAGAAACUGUUUAGUUUGAUUUAAUCAUAAUUGAUAAAGACCACUUUACUCAUGUUAAAAGAAGGAAAGAAAAUUUUGUAACUAUGUCAUUUUAUGUGGGUGACAUGUUGUUGGCCGCAAAUGAAUUAGUGCUUAUCAUUAUGGGUUAUGCAAGACUACAUGUCAAUUCAUACGAAUGUGUCCUUUUUUCAAUGUUGUGAGUAGCAUCAUAUAUGUUAUGAUGUACAUAAAGCAAAGUAUCUCUUGUAUAGUUGGAUUCAAGACACUCCAAUCCAAACUCAUUGCAAAACAAUGAAAAUGAUAUUGAGGUAUUGAAAAGACACUAUGGAUUUUCACCAUGCUAUCUAAUUGUGAAUACAAAUACCUAUUAAUUAAAAGGAGAUUUAGAUGAAAUAUUGAAAUCUAUCUCCACACAUGUGUUCGUAUUUGAUAAUGGAGUGAACUCUUAAAGUAGUAAGAAAUAAACUUGUAUAGCAUGGUCUAUUAUUGAUGCUGAAAUUGGCAUUUUUAGCGAUGGUUCAAGAGAGUGUUUGGGUUAAAAUAAUCACGAUUAAUAUAGUUACGUUAAAGCAAAAUAUCUUCUAUAGUUGGAUUCAACAUAGUCCAAUCCAAACUUAUUGCAAAACAAUGAAAAUGAUUUUGAGGUCUUUUAUUGUUCUCUCUUGUAUAGUUUGCAUCUCAAGGCACUUUCUUGUUGAUUACGAUGAACAAAAAACGGUUGCAAGCUCUGGGACGAGCAAGAUCAAUAUCUUUAGAGAUCAAAUGAUGGUUAGUAUACAAAUUUAAAAACUAGUUUUUAUAAUUUCAUUUUCAUAUAGUUUUUAUUUAUUUUUUAUUAUAAAUUUUAUGCUUUUUAUAAUAUUUUAUAUGUUUUAGUAUUUUUACAAUAUUUUAAUAACUUUCUAUCUUUUUAAAUAUUUAUUACCAUUUUUAUUUUUAAUUCAAAUAAUUUAUUUUUUUCCAAUUUUCUAUAUUUUAUAAUAUUUUUAAUAAUAUUUUAUAUAUUUAAAUAUUUUUUCAUAAUUUUAAUUUUUUUAAAUUUUUCAUAAUUUAUAUGUUUUUUUAAUUUUUAUUUUAGUACUUUUUAAUGCUUUUCACAAUUUUUAAUAAUUUUUAUAAUUUAUAUUUUUUUUUCGUUUAUAAUCAUUUUUAUAAUUUAUAUAUAUAUCUGCAAUUUUAUAUAUUUUAUAAUUUUUGCAAUUUUUAUAUUUUAUAAAAUAAUUUUGUAAUACUCCAAACUCGGCCUUAACGUUAUGACCAAAUCUAGAGAUGCUAUGAAGAUACAUUAAAAAAAAUCUAGAAUCUGUUGAUUUUAUAAAAUGAUACUUGCCCUUAUUUAGUAAAAUCUGAGUUUAUUUGAGAAAUUUAUCGUUUUGAUGGGUUUGUCAAUUAUUUACUCAUAAAACUAGUCGAAUCCAAUUUGAAAACACGAUUUUUUUUGUUGUUGUAAAAUCCAUUAUUCAACAAUUCAAUUUUCAACCCACCAACGAGGAAAUCACACAGGACUUCCUGCUAACCUACCAUCUUUUUUCAAGAGUUCAAACCCAAUCCAACACCACCAACUCGACAGCACAUUAAGGGCUAACAAAAAUAAAUUAGAGACUCAAACGAUAAAUUAACAUCUUAUCGUUGAACUAGUAAACUCAUUCUAUCACAAAUUGAUCAAAAAUAGUAUUUAAGUGGUAAGGAACAAGAUAAGGAUAAAAGACAAAAAUAAUAAAAUUUCUUAAAAAUGAGAUUUGAACCCUAAUCAGUAAAACAAAUACUUAUUCAUGACAUAAAUUAACAAAUUAAAAAUUCAUAUUUUUGGGUCUUAAAAGUUUUUAAUAAAUUAUAAUUACUUGAUUCCAGUUUCUUUAUUAUGCCCAAAUUUAAGAUUAAGCCCUAUAUUUUAAUUUUGACAUAAUUUGAUUUAUUUAUUUUUAUAAUGUCAUUAGUUAUCUUAAAUCGCUAACAUUAUUAGCUAUGCCAAGUAAAAUAACAUCGCGUAUUUUUUUUCUUAAAAUCAUCACUUCUAACUAAAUAAUGGCUUAAUCACUUUUUUAACUAAUUAUACUAACAUAGAUUUUUUUUAGUUGGAACGAGUAUGUUUAAGGAAAAAUCACCUCAACACUUUACUUGAAAUUAGUAAUCACAUUAAUUAUUUGGACUAACUAAAUCAUUACUGAAUCACCUUCUAACUAAUUAUAGUAAUGUAUAUAUUUAAGAAAAAGCUCACUUUAAUGUUUUAACUGAAAUUAUUAACCGUGUUAAUUACUUAAACUAACUAAUGAAAAAUAUUUCAAAUUAAUUUAUACUGAAUAACUCUCAAAUCCAAGUAUAAUAAAAUAAUAUGACUAACUCAAACUUGGCGUUGAAUUGAGUUUGGGAGUAAAAUAAUCACAUCACUCAUUGGCAAAGCAUGACUGUGAUUAUGAUAUGGUUUUUCGAAGUAUAACUAUGGUGGAGUUGAUAGCAUUGAUUAGAAUACCUUUAUAAAUGAAUAUAUAACAUUUAAUCAUGUAUAUAUUUUUAAUAAUUUAAUAACUUAAAAAAACACCACACUUUAUUAUAUAUGUAAAAUGUAAAUAGAAGCUACAUUCUUAUUUCAUGAAAUAACAUCAUAGAGAAUGUGAUGGCAGAGUUCAUUCUCAGUAAUAUAUGUGAUACUAAUUAGGAAUCAAACUGUCUUCAAUGGCUGGAUGGAGGUGGAGGUGGAGGUGGAGACAUGAAAGGAAUGGAAGGCAAGCUGCUACUGGGAAGUGGUGGAAGAACAGUGAUAGGCUUAGGCUAAGAUGGUGGGAUUGUUGGUAGCUUCGGGAUUCAAGGCAAUGGAGGUAUGCAGGGUUGAGCUGAGAAUGAUGGUAGAUCUAGGAUUGAAGGCAAUGGAAGUAUGUUGGGCAACUUACGAAGUGGUGGUAGUUCUAAGUUCUGGGAUUGAAGGAAAUGGUGGUGGUUCUGGGAUUAAAGGAAGUGGUGACAUCGGAGGUGGCAAUGGUACCGGUAAAUAUGCAGAUGGCAAUGGUACUGGUAAAAAUGGAGGUGGCAAUGGUAUUGGCGACAAUGGAGGUAGCAAUGGUACUGGUGACAAUGGUAUUGGCGACAAUGGAGGUGGCAAUGGUAUUGGUGGAAAUGGAGGUGGCACUUGCUGAAGAUUUCGGGUUGCUAGGCUAACCUCCAUGCUUGAAAAACCCAAGGAAAUGAAGCAGGCUAAUAAAAUGAAAACGUUGGAAGCUGCCAUUUUUUUUUGGAGAGAUGAACUAAAGAUUGAAGAUUUGAGUUGAGGAAAGCAGGAUUGGUUUCGGGUAUUUAUAGCCACAUUUGAAGGAGUUUUUUAAUUAUUUGUUUGAGAUAUUACUCCCCUACUUAGCUUACUACCUUC
rnacentral:lncRNA from 1 species